GAAAUGUCCGAUCUGGAGGAGAAUCUCCACUCCAACGUGACGUUGCCACCUUCCUCGGCCCGAUACCUCAGAGGCUUGUGAUGAGGAUCAAACGUGCCUGAGGGGAAGAGCAAGGAGAGGAGAGAGUGCAGCACCCACCUUGAAAUGGAGAACGGAGAACUCCGGCGCCUGCACGGCCCAAACCAGUUGUGAGAAAUGAAGAAGUGAAGACAGGAACUUCAAGCCCCGCCCCCCUUUGGACACUCCGGUUGUGUCACCGUGGUAACACAGUCAGCGAGCCACCACGAGGUUUUACAUUCAUGGCUUUUGGUGAAAUAUCUCAACGUCUGCGUGGCUCAGUUGCAGCCAUGUUCGAUUACGCAACGACCUCGUGAGAACGUCGGCGUUCCAUCUGUGCCAAAGGCCGGGUUGUUUUUUUUCUGUUUUGUAUGUCCAUGGCAACCACUUCAGGUGCCUUCACAGCAGCGGGUGUUUCGAGCAUCAGAUUUGGGGUAAAGCCCGUUUCAAUUCACGUUUUGGGCUCAGCUGAAUAACACAAACACACACACACACACACACACACACACACACACACACACACACACACACACACACACACACACA